UCGGACUGUGGUCUGCAACCCGACCACACGAAGCUGGAAUCGCUAGUAAUCGCGGAUCAGAAUGCCGCGGUGAAUACGUUCCCGGGCCUUGUACACACCGCCCGUCACACCAUGAGAGUUGGGGAUACCCAAAGCCCGUGAGCCAACUUUUAAAGAGGCAGCGGUCUAAGGUAGAAUCAAUGAUUGGGGUGAAGUCGUAACAAGGUAGC
rnacentral:rRNA from 1 species